GAUGAACGCUGGCGGCGUGCCUAAUACAUGCAAGUCGAGCGAACAGACGAGGAGCUUGCUCCUCUGACGUUAGCGGCGGACGGGUGAGUAACACGUGGAUAACCUACCUAUAAGACUGGGAUAACUUCGGGAAACCGGAGCUAAUACCGGAUAAUAUAUUUAACCGCAUGGUUCAAUAGUGAAAGACGGUUUUGCUGUCACUUAUAGAUGGAUCCGCGCCGCAUUAGCUAGUUGGUAAGGUAACGGCUUACCAAGGCAACGAUGCGUAGCCGACCUGAGAGGGUGAUCGGCCACACUGGAACUGAGACACGGUCCAGACUCCUACGGGAGGCAGCAGUAGGGAAUCUUCCGCAAUGGGCGAAAGCUUGACGGAGCAACGCCGCGUGAGUGAUGAAGGUCUUCGGAUCGUAAAACUCUGUUAUUAGGGAAGAACAAAUGUGUAAGUAACUAUGCACGUCUUGACGGUACCUAAUCAGAAAGCCACGGCUAACUACGUG
rnacentral:rRNA from 1 species